CGGGCUGCUGGCCGUCGUUCUUGCACGUGGGCGUUCAGCACGCUGCUGGGUUCCCGGCUUUCCUUCUCCCCCCUUGGCGCCUCUCUUCCCCCGUGGUUCCUUUUUGUCUCAAACCCGCGGCUAACUUUCUGCACGUGGCCCCCGCUGCCGUCUGAAGGAGGCGGGUGCUGAGGACUAGCACCUUUGAAUGCUCUUCCGGAAACGAACGCCCGAAAUCGCCCUGCUUGGUGCUUUCCUUGUACGGUGCUUUCCUAUGAAUGGCUUCUCGGGGGCAGUUCUGGCUUGGCUUAGUCGGGGAAGGCCCUAGGACUCCCAAGAGCGGGCCGUGACGUUUCCCCUGCCUGUACUUGCCUGGGAUGGAACAGUGUCGCCUGCGGAAUGCUAGGAUUUUUUCUGUCUACAAGUGUGCAGGUCUUCUGGUGCAUAAAUGCAAGCGGGACCUUCCUGGCACCUGAUUUUGUGACGCAUCAGAUGGGAGCAGGAGCUGAGUGAUGCCGUGCCCGUUGCAGGAGCCAAAAUGGAGACACGAGGAGGACCGACAUUGAUGAGGUUCCUUACCUGAAGCUAAAGAAAAAAUUAAAAUGGUUCAUUGAGAAUAGAAGUGGAAGAGGAUGCGCACCAGCUCAGCUUGGAUCCACCAGCACCAAAUGAAGCGGAUCAGGGCCAGGGGCUGCUUUCCAUCAGCUCAUGGAAAGACACGGAGCGGAGUGGAGUCGCCAUCCUGCCUUUUCUGGCCGUGCCCAGAUGCGAACCUGGGAGUGUUGGUUCCGUUUUUCAGCUUGGGGAUGGCUCAUAAGAAUACGUGAGAUCAGGCCAGAAGUCCACCGUGCAAGAUCAGACUGAGGGCCCACGCGCUCCGGCCGUCUGUGGAAGAGCACAAGUGCACAGAGGCCCUCCUGCUCAUCUUCUCCAACAAGCGUCCCUCGGGCAGCUGGCUGUGAUGCACAAGAUCACAGAGGCGGAGCCCUGUCUGGCCGGCCAAGAGACGCCGAAGAGCUGCUUGCCAGUGGCUGCUGGCUUGACACCACGUGCCCCCACCUGGGUGUUGCAGUCGGUGCUGUGGAGGAUGUGGUCCUGCCCCCGCUUCACCCACGGGCGCCCGCCCCGUUUCCCUCUGAGUCACUGUGGCUGGCAGAGCCUGGGUGGGGGUGCACAGCUCCCAGGGCUCGAAAGAGGAAGUCUCCGGUCGGCCAGUGCACGGUUCUGCCAAUAAACGCGAGUGCUACCGUU